GACGAACGCUGGCGGCGUGCUUAACACAUGCAAGUCGAACGGAAAGGCCCUGCUUUUGUGGGGUGCUCGAGUGGCGAACGGGUGAGUAACACGUGAGUAACCUGCCCUUGACUUUGGGAUAACUUCAGGAAACUGGGGCUAAUACCGGAUAGGAGCUCCUGCUGCAUGGUGGGGGUUGGAAAGUUUCGGCGGUUGGGGAUGGACUCGCGGCUUAUCAGCUUGUUGGUGGGGUAGUGGCUUACCAAGGCUUUGACGGGUAGCCGGCCUGAGAGGGUGACCGGCCACAUUGGGACUGAGAUACGGCCCAGACUCCUACGGGAGGCAGCAGUGGGGAAUAUUGCACAAUGGGCGGAAGCCUGAUGCAGCCACGCCGCGUGCGGGAUGACGGCCUUCGGGUUGUAAACCGCUUUCGCCUGGGACGAAGCGUGAGUGACGGUAAUGGGUAAAGAAGCACCGGCUAACUACGUG
rnacentral:rRNA from 1 species